rnacentral:rRNA from 1 species
GAUGAACGCUGGCGGCGUGCCUAAUACAUGCAAGUCGAGCGAACAGACGAGGAGCUUGCUCCUCUGACGUUAGCGGCGGACGGGUGAGUAACACGUGGAUAACCUACCUAUAAGACUGGGAUAACUUCGGGAAACCGGAGCUAAUACCGGAUAAUAUAUUGAACCGCAUGGUUCAAUAGUGAAAGACGGUUUUGCUGUCACUUAUAGAUGGAUCCGCGCCGCAUUAGCUAGUUGGUAAGGUAACGGCUUACCAAGGCAACGAUGCGUAGCCGACCUGAGAGGGUGAUCGGCCACACGGGAACUGGGACACGGUCCAGACUCCUACGGUAGGCAGCAGUAGGGAAUCUUCCGCAAUGGGCGAAAGCCUGACGGAGCAACGCCGCGUGAGUGAUGAAGGUCUUCGGAUCGUAAAACUCUGUUAUUAGGGAAGAACAAAUGUGUAAGUAGCUAUGCACGUCUUGACGGUACCUAAUCAGAAAGCUACGGCUAACUACGUG